AAUCAACGCUGGCGGCGUGCCUCAGACAUGCAAGUCGAACGAUUAAACUCGCCUUCGGGUGAGAUAUAAAGUGGCGCACGGGUGAGUAACACGUAGGUAAUGUACCUUUGGGUGGGAAUAACUUAGGGAAACUUAAGCUAAUACCGCAUAAUGCAGCGGCUCCUUCGGGAGACAGUUGUUAAAGAUUUACCGCCUAAAGAGCAGCCUGCGGCAGAUUAGCUAGUUGGUAAGGAACGGCUUACCAAGGCUACGAUCUGUAUCCGACCUGAGAGGGUGGUCGGACACACUGACACUGAAUAACGGGUCAGACUCCUACGGGAGGCAGCAGUCGGGAAUUUUGGGCAAUGGGCGAAAGCCUCGACCCAGCAACGCCGCGUGAAGGAUGAAGUCUCUCGGGAUGUAACUUACGAAAGAAUAGGAAGAAUAAAUGACGGUACUAUUUAUAAGGUCCGGCU
rnacentral:rRNA from 1 species